rnacentral:rRNA from 1 species
AACGAACGCUGGCGGCAUGCCUAACACAUGCAAGUCGAACGAGACCUUCGGGUCUAGUGGCGCACGGGUGCGUAACGCGUGGGAACCUGCCCUUAGGUUCGGAAUAACUCCCCGACAGGGGUGCUAAUACCGGAUAAUGUCUUCGGACCAAAGAUUUAUCGCCUUUGGAUGGGCCCGCGUUGGAUUAGCUAGUUGGUAGGGUAAAAGCCUACCAAGGCGACGAUCCAUAGCUGGUCUGAGAGGAUGGUCAGCCACACUGGGACUGAGACCCGGCCCAGACUCCUACGGGAGGGAGCAGUGGGGAAUAGUGGACAAUGGGCGGAAGGCUGAUGCAGCAAUGCCGGGUGAGUGAUGAAGGCCUUAGGGUUGUAAAGCUCUUUUACCCGGGAUGAUAAUGACAGUACCGGGAGAAUAAGCGCCGGCUAACUCCGUG